rnacentral:rRNA from 1 species
CGCACCAGUUCCUCACCCUUGUAAAAAAAAAAACAGUUCCUCACCCAUCCCGCGGCCCCACCACUGCUCCCAUUUCCGCACGCAUCUAUCAACGCGACACCGCCGGCGAUGAGCGCGAAGCAGCUCUGCGACGCCUUGGCCGCCGCGGGGUUCGACAGCGGAGAUCCGCUCGACCCGGAGAGCCUCGAUUGGGCGUUCCUCCAAGGAGACGACUCCAGCCGCGUGCUCGCGUGGAUCGCCGCCCGCCUACGCCGCGCCAACGUCCUCUCCGCCUCCGACCUCGAACUCUAUGAUCAGCUUGAACUAGAAGGGAAGCUUUUGGAGGGGAAAGACUUGGAUUCCGCUUUCGACAGUAUUUCGGCGUUCUCAGAAACUGGAGAGAACCAUGAAUACACAUUCCUGUCGGAAGAAAGUCUGGGAGACAUCCGCGACUCAAAACUAGCACUUAGAGCUGAAGUUUCUGAUUUGGAAAAAAAGCUCGCUUCUCUGGAAUGGCAGCUUGAUUUGCUUACAGCACAAGCUACCACCAUCACGCAGGGAAAGAAAUCCCGCACAUCUGCUAAAACUAGCGCAACUGGAAAACUCGCGAGAUUUGAUGAGGAACUUGCCAAGAGAAGUUUAGAGAUGAAUGCAGUACUUGGAAAACUUGUUGCUACGAUCCAGGAGUUGUCUUACUAUCAUUCAGAAGCUGAUAUUGGCGUCUACCUGUCAUACUGUGAUUUCCAAUCAUAUGUAAUCAGUAACCUGGCUUGUACCAAAGAACUUAACACAUGGUUCACUAAGAAGUUUGAGAAGGGAGCUCUCCGGUUUGUUGCCAAAGAAGACAUGCCAAGGGGAGAUUCCGAAAAGCCUCGUCAUUUUGUGGUCGAACUAAAGCGAAUUAAUUCAGUGAGGAGAAAUUCUGAACUUACAGAAGAGCUGAAGGAUCUCUCCCUUCAAGUGCAGGAAUGCCUAUCCGAGACUGUCGCAAGCUUGUGUUCUGACCUGGCUCGACUUGAGGGUGCAAAUAUUCUGCAAGGUGUGAUCUUGUCAUGACUCAGUAAGCAUUUGAAAGUGUUUUGCGGUAUUGAGCUUGGCGCUUCAUGUUGCUACCUAUGACCUUCUAGGGGAUCAUAACUUGAUUGUUCAUCGCCAGGAAUGCUACAUAAGCCAGCAAAAAAGGUUCAUCAAUCAUUUGGUGAAUCAGCUUGCUGCUCAUCGGUUUCUGGCGAUAGCCUGCCAGCUUGAAAGACGGACAAAAAUUUCGAGUGCCUAUUCAUUGUUGAAAGCUACAGAAAUGGAGCUGCAGAGCUACGUAUUAGCUGUCAAUAGUCGCCUGGACCAAUAUCAUCUAAUUGGCGAAGCCGCGUCUAGCAUGAUCGAAGAAGGGUCUAUUGAUGACCGGGAUACUUUUCUCCAUGCUGUGAGGGAUAUUCUUAGCAGUUACUCAGGUUCUCAAACAAUGACACCAACAUAUGUUUCAGCAUGUGCUUUGGUUGAGCAGAUAUCUGAGCUGGAGGAUGAGCUCCACUGUUAUCAGCAUGAGCUUGAAAAUGUUCUUCCACGUGAACGGGGAAGAUUUAUCGAUGAACAAUGCAGGAUGGUCCAAACACUCGAGCAGAUUUUAUCUGUACCCGUUACACAUAUGCUACCAAAAUUUACACCAUGGCCACUGGCGCAAGCACUUGAAGAAUUGGAAAUGAUCAGCUAUGAAGUCUAUGCUUCUGUUAAUGAAGUAACGAUGGCUCGAGAGGAAAAGACCAAGAUGUUACAGCAGCCUUCACGCAAUGCGCAGCAGGAAAGACGAGUAUUCGCCGAUUUCUUCUGCCAUCCAGGACGGCUUGAGAAUCAAGUCAGAGAGCUGACUUCUCGUGUUAGAGGAAUCCCGGAGUAAUGUUGGGUAGGGUGGUCAAUAAGGCAAGUGCAGAGUCUUGUUUGCAUUCUUGUCUUGCUCAGCUCGAAGGCUUUCCUCCGGAGGUUUUUUACUUUUUUUGAAAACACAAGAUUUAUUCAUUCAAAAUAACAAGUACAUCGUUUACGAGGAGGGUACAAUU